CCCCGUGUCCGACCCACAGGUGGCAGAGAGCUCACAGCCCAGCUGUGCCCUCUAGGUCACGCUCCCCAGGACACUGCUUGGGCCCGGGGGUAACACUGU